GAUGAACGCUGGCGGCGUGCCUAACACAUGCAAGUCGAACGGAGCUGCUUUGAUGAAGUUUUCGGAUGGAUUUAAAACAGCUUAGUGGCGGACGGGUGAGUAACGCGUGGGUAACCUGCCUCACACUGGGGGAUAACAGUUAGAAAUAGCUGCUAAUACCGCAUAAGCGCACGGUUCCGCAUGGAACAGUGUGAAAAACUCCGGUGGUGUGAGAUGGACCCGCGUCUGAUUAGCCAGUUGGCGGGGUAACGGCCCACCAAAGCGACGAUCAGUAGCCGGCCUGAGAGGGUGAACGGCCACAUUGGGACUGAGACACGGCCCAAACUCCUACGGGAGGCAGCAGUGGGGAAUAUUGCACAAUGGGGGAAACCCUGAUGCAGCGACGCCGCGUGAGUGAAGAAGUAUUUCGGUAUGUAAAGCUCUAUCAGCAGGGAAGAAAGUGACGGUACCUGAAUAAGAAGCCCCGG
rnacentral:rRNA from 1 species